GACGAACGCUGGCGGCGUGCUUAACACAUGCAAGUCGAACGGAAAGGCCCUGCUUUUGUGGGGUGCUCGAGUGGCGAACGGGUGAGUAACACGUGAGUAACCUGCCCUUGACUUUGGGAUAACUUCAGGAAACUGGGGCUAAUACCGGAUAGGAGCUCCUGUUGCAUGGUGGGGGUUGGAAAGUUUCGGCGGUUGGGGAUGGACUCGCGGCUUAUCAGCUUGUUGGUGGGGUAGUGGCUUACCAAGGCUUUGACGGGUAGCCGGCCUGAGAGGGUGACCGGCCACAUUGGGACUGAGAUACGGCCCAGACUCCUACGGGAGGCAGCAGUGGGGAAUAUUGCACAAUGGGCGGAAGCCCGAUGCAGCAACGCCGCGUGCGGGAUGACGGCCUUCGGGUUGUAAACCGCUUUCGCCUGUGACGAAGCGUGAGUGACGGUAAUGGGUAAAGAAGCACCGGCUAACUACGUG
rnacentral:rRNA from 1 species